rnacentral:rRNA from 1 species
GCGACCCCAGGAUGGGCGAGGCCCCCGCUAUUUU